CCUACGGGGGGCAGCAGUGAGGAAUAUUGGUCAAUGGCCGAGAGGCUGAACCAGCCAAGUCGCGUGAGGGAAGACGGCCCUACGGGUUGUAAACCUCUUUUGUCGGGGAGCAAAGCGAACCACGUGUGGUUCAUUGAGAGUACCCGAAGAAAAAGCAUCGGCUAACUCCGUGCCAGCAGCCGCGGUAAUACGGAGGAUGCGAGCGUUAUCCGGAUUUAUUGGGUUUAAAGGGUGCGCAGGUGGAGGGGGAAGUCAGCGGUGAAAUUUAGGGGCUCAACCCCCACAUGGCAGUUGAACGGGGUCGGCUUGAGGAGAGUAGAGGUAGGCGGAAGUUGUGGUG
rnacentral:rRNA from 1 species